UACGUAGGGGCAAGCGUUGGUCCGGAAUCAUUGGGCGUAAGAGCGUGUAGGCGGUUCGUUAUGUCGGAUGUGAAGCCCUUGGCUUAACCGAGGAAGUGCAUCCGAAACUGGCGAGCUAGAGUACUAAAGAGGAUCGCGGAAUUCCGGUGUAGAGGUGAAAUUCGUAGAUAUCGGGAGGAACACCGGUGGCGAAGGCGGCGAUCUGGGGUAGAUACUGACGCUGAGGUGCGAAAGCGUGGGGAGCAACAGGGAUUAAGAUACCCUUG
rnacentral:rRNA from 1 species